AGGUUUCCGUAGGUGAACCUGCGGAAGGAUCAUUAAUGAAUAUUGAAAAGGGUUGUAGCUGGCCUUUUCGUCUGAGAGGCAUCUUGUGCACGCCCUGAUCAUUGUCCAAUUUUACACCUGUGCACACACUGUAGGUUGGCUUUCAGGGUGAAGUCUUCAUUGGCUUUGCUUUGUGACCUUCCUAUGUUUUAUCACAAACUACUCGGUCUAAAGAAUGUCUGUCGCGUGUAACGCAUUAUAUACAACUUUCAGCAACGGAUCUCUUGGCUCUCGCAUCGAUGAAGAACGCAGCGAAAUGCGAUAAGUAAUGUGAAUUGCAGAAUUCAGUGAAUCAUCGAAUCUUUGAACGCACCUUGCGCUCCUUGGUAUUCCGAGGAGCAUGCCUGUUUGAGUGUCAUGGAAUUCUCAACUCUAUUUGCUUUYGGGUGAAUAGAGCUUGGACUUGGAGGUUAUUGCUGGAUGCGCACUGGUGUUCGGCUCCUCUUGAAAGUAUUAGCUUGAGCCUUUGUGGAUCAGCUUCGGUGUGAUAAUUCUUUACGCUGUUCUGUGAAGCAUGUUUGUGGGUUUCGGCUUCUAAUCGUCCUCUGGAUGGGACAAAUGCAAUUAUGACCUUUGACCUCAGAUCAGGUAGGGUUACCCGCUGAACUUAAGCAUAUCAAU
rnacentral:rRNA from 1 species